UACAGAGGGUGCGAGCGUUGUCCGGAAUCACUGGGCGUAAAGGGCGCGUAGGCGGCCUGAUAAGUAGGGGGUGAAAUCCUGUGGCUUAACUGCAGGGCUGCCUCCUAGACUGUUAGGCUCGAGCACGGUAGAGGCAGAUGGAAUUCCCGGUGUAGCGGUGGAAUGCGUAGAUAUCGGGAGGAACACCAGUGGCGAAGGCGGUUACCUGGAGCUUUGCUGACGCUGAUGCGCGAAAGCGUGGGGAGCGAUCCGG
rnacentral:rRNA from 1 species